rnacentral:rRNA from 1 species
AGUCGACGGCAGCACGGGAGCAAUCCUGGUGGCGAGUGGCGAACGGGUGAGUAAUGUAUCGGAACGUACCUUUCAGUGGGGGAUAACGUAGCGAAAGUUACGCUAAUACCGCAUAUUCUGUGAGCAGGAAAGCAGGGGAUCGCAAGACCUUGCGCUGAUUGAGCGGCCGAUAUCAGAUUAGCUAGUUGGUGAGGUAAAGGCUCACCAAGGCGACGAUCUGUAGCGGGUCUGAGAGGAUGAUCCGCCACACUGGAACUGAGACACGGUCCAGACUCCUACGGGAGGCAGCAGUGGGGAAUUUUGGACAAUGGGGGCAACCCUGAUCCAGCCAUGCCGCGUGAGUGAAGAAGGCCUUCGGGUUGUAAAGCUCUUUCAGCCGGGAAGAAAUCACAUGGGUUAAUACCCUGUGUGGAUGACGGUACCGGAAUAAGAAGCACCGGCUAACUACGUGCCAGCAGCCGCGGUAAUACGUAGGGUGCGAGCGUUAAUCGGAAUUACUGGGCGUAAAGCGUGCGCAGGCGGUUUGUUAAGAUAGGCGUGAAAUCCCCGGGCUCAACCUGGGAACUGCGUUUAUGACUGGCAGGCUAGAGUAUGGCAGAGGGGGGUGGAAUUCCACGUGUAGCAGUGAAAUGCGUAGAGAUGUGGAGGAACACCGAUGGCGAAGGCAGCCCCCUGGGCCAAUACUGACGCUCAUGCACGAAAGCGUGGGUAGCAAACAGGAUUAGAUACCCUGGUAGUCCACGCCCUAAACGAUGUCAACUGGUUGUUGGGGGAGUGAAAUCCCUUAGUAACGAAGCUAACGCGUGA